UUGCCUACGGGGGGCAGCAGUGAGGAAUAUUGGUCAAUGGGAGAGAUCCUGAACCAGCCGAGCCGCGUGAGGGAAGACGGCCCUAUGGGUUGUAAACCUCUUUUGUCAGGGAGCAACGCCGGCUACGUGUAGCCGGACUGAGAGUACCUGAAGAAAAAGCAUCGGCUAACUCCGUGCCAGCAGCCGCGGUAAUACGGAGGAUGCGAGCGUUAUCCGGAUUUAUUGGGUUUAAAGGGUGCGUAGGCGGAAUGCCAAGUCAGCGGUAAAAUCGCGGGGCUCAACCUCGCUCCGCCGUUGAAACUGGC
rnacentral:rRNA from 1 species